UACGUAGGUGCGAGCGUUGUCCGGAAUUAUUGGGCGUAAAGAGCUUGUAGGCGGUUUGUCGCGUCUGCUGUGAAAUUUCGGGGCUCAACCCCGAACUUGCAGUGGGUACGGGCAGACUAGAGUGUGGUAGGGGAGACUGGAAUUCCUGGUGUAGCGGUGAAAUGCGCAGAUAUCAGGAGGAACACCGAUGGCGAAGGCAGGUCUCUGGGCCACUACUGACGCUGAGAAGCGAAAGCAUGGGGAGCGAACAGG
rnacentral:rRNA from 1 species